rnacentral:rRNA from 1 species
AACGAACGCUGGCGGCAUGCCUAACACAUGCAAGUCGAACGAGACCUUCGGGUCUAGUGGCGCACGGGUGCGUAACGCGUGGGAAUCUGCCCUUGGGUUCGGAAUAACAGUUGGAAACGACUGCUAAUACCGGAUGAUGACGUAAGUCCAAAGAUUUAUCGCCCAAGGAUGAGCCUGCGUAGGAUUAGCUAGUUGGUGAGGUAAAGGCGCACCAAGGCGACGAUCCUUAGCUGGUCUGAGAGGAUGAUCAGCCACACUGGGACUGAGACACGGCCCAGACUCCUACGGGAGGCAGCAGUGGGGAAUAUUGGACAGUGGGCGAAAGCCUGAUCCAGCAAUGCCGCGUGAGUGAUGAAGGCCUUAGGGUUGUAAAGCUCUUUUACCCGGGAUGAUAAUGACAGUACCGGGAGAAUAAGCUCCGGCUAACUCCGUG